UACGUAGGGUGCAGGCGUUAAUCGGAAUUACUGGGCGUAAAGCGUGCGCAGGCGGUCUUUUAAGUCAGAUGUGAAAUCCCCAGGCUUAACCUGGGAACUGCAUUCGAGACUGCAUUGCUAGAGUAUGGGAGAGGGAAGUGGAAUUUCCGGUGUAGCGGUGAAAUGCGUAGAUAUCGGAAGGAACAUCAGUGGCGAAAGCGACUUCCUGGACCAAUACUGACGCUCAUGUGCGAAAGCGUGGGGAGCAAACAGG
rnacentral:rRNA from 1 species